UACGUAGGGUCCGAGCGUUGUCCGGAAUCACUGGGCGUAAAGGGCGCGUAGGUGGUUUGAUAAGGGUGUGGUGAAAGUCCGGAGCUCAACUCCGGAUCUGCCGUGCCGACUGUCAAACUCGAGGGCUGUAGAGGCAGACGGAAUUCCGGGUGUAGCGGUGGAAUGCGUAGAGAUCCGGAGGAAGACCGGUGGCGAAGGCGGUCUGCUGGGCAGUUUCUGACACUGAGGCGCGACAGCGUGGGGAGCAAACAGG
rnacentral:rRNA from 1 species